UGCCAGACUCCUACGGGAGGCAGCAGUGGGGAAUAUUGCACAAUGGGGGGAACCCUGAUGCAGCAACGCCGCGUGGGUGAAGAAGUAUUUCGGUAUGUAAAGCCCUAUCAGCAGGGAAGAAGAUGACGGUACCUGACUAAGAAGCCCCGGCUAAAUACGUGCCAGCAGCCGCGGUAAUACGUAGGGGGCAAGCGUUAUCCGGAUUUACUGGGUGUAAAGGGAGCGUAGACGGCAGCACAAGUCUGGAGUGAAAUGCCGGGGCUUAACCCCGGAACUGCUUUAGAAACUGUGCAGCUAGAGUGCAGGAGAGGUAAGUGGAAUUCCUAGUGUAGCGGUGAAAUGCGUAGAUAUUAGGAGGAACACCAGUGGCGAAGGCGGCUUACUGGACUGUAACUGACGUUGAGGCUCGAAAGCGUGGGGAGCAAACAGGAUUAGAUACCCUUGUACGC
rnacentral:rRNA from 1 species